UACGUAGGUGGCAAGCGUUGUCCGGAUUUACUGGGCGUAAAGGGCGCGUAGGCGGGACGGCAAGUCGGUUGUGAAAUCCUCCGGCUCAACCGGAGAACGUCGAUCGAUACUGCCGUUCUUGAGGGUUGCAGAGGAGACUGGAAUUCCCGGUGUAGCGGUGAAAUGUGUAGAGAUCGGGAGGAACACCGGUGGCGAAGGCGGGUCUCUGGGCAAUUCCUGACGCUGAGGCGCGAAAGCGUGGGGAGCAAACGGG
rnacentral:rRNA from 1 species